rnacentral:rRNA from 1 species
GUGUCAGCAGCCGCGGUAAAACGUAGGACGCAAACGUUAUCCGGAAUUACUGGGCGUAAAGAGCGUGUAGGCGGUUUGGUAAGUCAACCGUGAAAGCUCCCGGCUAAACUGGGAGAGGUCGGCUGAGACUGCCAGACUAGAGGGUGUUAGAGGGAUGCGGAAUUCCGGGUGUAGUGGUGAAAUGCGUAGAGAUCCGGAGGAACACCAGAGGCGAAGGCGGCAUCCUGGGACAAACCUGACGCUGAGACGCGAAAGCAUGGGGAGCGAACGGGAUUAGAAACCCCCGUAGUCC